rnacentral:rRNA from 1 species
UACAGAGACUGCAAGCGUUAUUCGGAUUCACUGGGCGUAAAGGGCUCGUAGGCGGUCUGUCACGUCGGGAGUGAAAACUCGGGGCUCAACCCCGAGCCUGCUCUCGAUACGGGCAGACUAGAGGUAUUCAGGGGAGAACGGAAUUCCUGGUGUAGCGGUGAAAUGCGCAGAUAUCAGGAGGAACACCGGUGGCGAAGGCGGUUCUCUGGGAAUGACCUGACGCUGAGGAGCGAAAGUGUGGGGAGCGAACAGG